AGGGAAUAUUGGUAAUGUGCGAAAGCGCGAACCAGCAACGCCGCGUGCACGAUGAAGGCCUUCGGGUUGUAAAGUGCUUUUAGAGAGGAUGAGGAAGGACAGUACUUUCUGAAUAAGCCUCGGCUAACUACGUGCCAGCAGCCGCGGUAAAACGUAGGAGGCUAGCGUUAUCCGGAUUUACUGGGCGUAAAGCGCGUGCAGGUGGUUUCGUAAGUUGGAUGUGAAAGCUCCUGGCUUAACUGGGAGAGGUCGUUCAAAACUGCGAGGCUUGAGAGGGGUAGAGGGAGGUGGAAUUCCGGGUGUAGUGGUGAAAUGCGUAGAUAUCCGGAGGAACACCAGUGGCGAAAGCGGCCUCCUGGACCAUUUCUGACACUCAGACGCGAAAG
rnacentral:rRNA from 1 species